AUUUAUAUUCAUCCAAAUUUUUAUAGGUGCUUUAAUAUUAUCCUGGAGACUAUUAAAGCACCUAUAAAAUUUGGAUGAAUAUAAAU